CAUCGCCACGGGAAUACGUAGGGUGCAAGCGUUAAUCGGAAUUACUGGGCGUAAAGCGUGCGCAGGCGGUUAUAUAAGACAGAUGUGAAAUCCCCGGGCUCAACCUGGGAACUGCAUUUGUGACUGUAUAGCUAGAGUACGGCAGAGGGGGAUGGAAUUCCGCGUGUAGCAGUGAAAUGCGUAGAUAUGCGGAGGAACACCGAUGGCGAAGGCAAUCCCCUGGGCCUGUACUGACGCUCAUGCACGAAAGCGUGGGGAGCAAACAGGAUUAGAUACCCCCGUAGUCCCUGUCUCUUAUAUA
rnacentral:rRNA from 1 species